AAUAUUCCAGUACUUGGAUUGGUGGACGGUAACGUUUUGAAUGUGGAGACGUCGGCGUGAGCCCUGGGAGAAGUUUUNUNNUUUCUNUUAAUGGUUUAAGACCUCGGAUGAUUUAGUCUGAGAUGAGGUUUUUUUCCAGAAUAGCGGUUUCCCGUCCGGUGCGCUCACGACGGUUCUGAAAAAUCCACAGGAAAUAUGCCAUCUACCAAGUCGUACU
rnacentral:rRNA from 1 species